rnacentral:rRNA from 1 species
GAUCCUGGCUCAGGAUGAACGCUAGCGACAGGCUUAACACAUGCAAGUCGAGGGGCAUCAUGAGGUAGCAAUACCUUGAUGGCGACCGGCGCACGGGUGAGUAACGCGUAAGCAACCUGCCCGAUACCGGGGUAUAGCCCAUGGAAACGUGGAUUAACACCCCAUAGUACUUUUAUCCUGCAUGGGAUGUGAGUUAAAUGUUCAAGGUAUCGGAUGGGCAUGCGUCCUAUUAGUAGUUGG